AUGCCUCGAACAUCAAAGAGACGUUGUAUUGGCUACAGGGAUAAGUGUAGAGCAAGGAAGCGGGUUAGAAAACCCAAAGUUUUGGAUGCCCAUGCCAUUGAACAGCAACAUAUACUUAUUGAUUCAGAUGCCAAUACCAUCGAAGAGCAGCUCAUACUUAUUGAUGGUAAGUUGUAUUAAAUGACCAAAAAUUUGGAUGAAAGGGUUAUGGAUAAAUGCAUUGUGUUCAAAGAUCAAAGCAUUCAACUGUUUUUACAUUGCUUCCUCCAGUAUAUUCAUGGCCUUCCUGUUUAUGGUCCAUUCAUUCAAUUCAUUCAUAAUCAACCAAAUAUCAAAAAGAAGGUAUGGUAUGAUUGCCAAGAGACAACUGUCCACAAGAGACCAAAUUUCAACAAUGAGCAAAGCCCAUUCUGCAUAGUCACCUAUACAAGGCUAUAAAACAAUUCAAAGGAGAAAACUAAUUAAUCGCUUUUAAUUUAUGAAGGCAAAAACAAAAAUUUUAAAACAGGUGUGUUAUACAGGUAAAAACCAUAUUUUUCUUAAAACUCGUGUAUUACUUAUCUAGUGAAUUUAAAAGGCCUUGUGAUUUAAAAGAUUUACAGGAUAUUGAAAUUUUGAGUGGAUGUUAUUUAAAUCUUUUUGAUUGGUGUGCCCCAAGCAUGACAAAUAACUUUGUAGUUAUAACUCUAAGCAGAAGAUCAAUUUUAUUAAUUUCUUUAAUUAUUUUCCCUUUUUCAGUCGCAUGACAAAAAGCUGGUGUUUAUUUAAGUCUCAGCAUAAAGUUACAAUCCAUUUUUAUUUUUUUUCCUUAAAAAUAGAAAACACUUAUUUGGAAAUAAAAUAAGUUAAUUGUUUCUAGAAAUCUUAUAUGAAUGUAUGAGCAUGAUGAGGCAACAUUGUAAUUAAAAUUUAUUCAAUGAUGAUCAAAUAAAUUUUAUGAAAGCAAAAUGUCAAGGUGGCUUGGUUUUUUUAAAUGGCUUCAUUUGGCAAAGAAAUUUAUCCUUUUCAUUAUUAAAUUUGUAAUUAUUUUUUAUAUACAAUUUCCUAAAUAUGCAAUGGAAAGCAAAUAAUUUAAGAUCUUUCCUCUUCAAAUAUAUCAAUGAUAUUCAAACAAUUUUGUCCUGUGAGGCCACAUUUAAGAGAAUGUCUGUUUCCCCUCUCCUGGGUCUACCCUUGGUAAACAGACCAGGAAGACGAUGGCCUCGUCAUAUAAUUAUGACUAUUCAGUUGAGGCCACUUAUCAGUUAUGUCAAUAUGUGUGCUCAAUUUGAGUGUAUUUAUUGAAUGUUUCGAUCCUUUUUGCUUUCAAGCGCUACAUGAAUAGAAACAAAUCAUUUUCAGGAAUAAAAAUAAUUUCUGAUUUUUUUUAUAGGAAAACAUUUUUUUGACCAGGGGGCUUAUUUACCCAGUGGAGGGGAGGGGAAACAAACAUAUUAAUAAUUUUGGCCUGAAUUUCUGUCAGUUUACCUUUACUGGCUGUAAAAUUUAUCUUUAGCCUUUUUUCAUUUUUAUUGCAGAUACUGCCUAUACAGAUAGUAGUUUUUGGCCCAUCACUGAAUUGAAUGAAUUAGGUGAUACAUGUAUAAGCAGUGAUCAGACACCAGCUUUCCUAAUUGAGCAAGAUGAGAACAGUGAAAAUAUAGAACAUUAUGUAGUGUUAGAUAAAGUCUACCAAUACGAUCCGAAUUACAACUUGGAAAAAUUUGUAACAACCAAGAGGGAAGAACAAUAUUCCGCACUGAAAAGAAGUUGUCAGAAGCUUGUGGAAAACACUUUAUAUGCACAGGUUGAAUUUAUGCGCUCUUCUGAAAUUAUAAGAUAUGUAUCUGUUUAUGAUAGUGACAAUCCUGGAGUAAAGUUCAUUUGUACAAUAAAGAAGAAUUACUCAGCAGAAGUAUUUGUUCAUGGCAAGAGAUUAAGUGAUCAACAUGACCUUUGGAACACGUUACCAGGAAAAUUUGUUACAAUUCAGCAGGUUGAAAGUCUUUUGAAUGUGCUGCUUCAUUAUGAUGUAUGCAUUGGUAAUCCAGAUGAAGAGCUACAGAAUUUGUGUUCCGGAAAAUUGGCCUAUGUUGAAGCAGAUUAUGGGGCUUACCGUGGCGACUGUGCCUACCAAAGUACAAUCCGAACCGUAUCAUGUAUGUUAUUGACUGACAGGUGGAAACCAAGAUGUAAGAAUUGCAUUACCUAUCGUAAAACUGUUCAAAAACAAGCAGCUAGAAGAAAACUUAAAACACCUACACCAAGUAAAAACUGGUUAACAUCCAGGAAAGGAAACAGUCGAUUAACUGAUUCAGAGAAAGUGGAAAAAAUUAAACAGUUAAAGAAGUACAAUAGUAACUUAGUUAGUCAGGUUGCAGCACUGAAGAAGAAAGUCGAAAAGUCCAUUAGAUCUGAAGGUGUCUCGCUUAGUGAAAAUAACAGUAAAGAUAUGGUAAAUUUGAUGACAUCAUGUGAAAGUACCGUCAAUGAACAAUUUCCAGAUGAAAACUGCUUCCAGCGCCUAUUUUGGUCACAGCAAGCAAAAUUCAACAAUUUGGCUGACAAAAGAGGUAUGCGGUGGCAUCCUAUGCUAAUUAAAUGGUGCAUAUAUUUGAAAAGUAAAUCAACAUCAACUUAUGACAGUUUAAGACACUCAGGUUUUAUUAAGCUUCCUAGUGAAAGAUUGCUUUACGACUACACUCAUGUGAUUAAGCAAGGUGUAGGAUUUAAGCCUGAACUCGUCGACAUGUUAGCAGAGGAAAUGGAAUCUAAAGGUGCAACAGAAGAAUGGCAACAAUAUGUAGGACUACUACAAGAUGAAAUAAAAGUAAAGAGUGAGUUAGUAUAUGACAAACAUUCAGGUGAAUUGAUUGGCUUCAUAGAUCUCGACAGCAUGUCAAAUAGUCUAAUCCAUAUGGAGGAAUGCAUUAAAGAAGAAGCAAAGAAGCUAGCUACGCACAUUUUAGUUGUAAUGGUACGCGGAAUAUCAGUUGACCUCAAGUUCCCACUUGCUCAUUUCGCCACCAAUGGAAUAACAUCGGACCAACUGUUUGGAAUUUUUAUGGGAAUGUGUAGAGUUAGUUGA
rnacentral:sRNA from 1 species